CGGAGGCAGUCGCCGGAAUGACAAGGGCGAGGGAGGAGCGCGGGUUAAGGGCGGCAGCAGCGGCGGAGGCGAAGGCGGCAGCGGGCUGCAGCGGCGUGGGCGACCCAUGGCGGCAGCUACGCGUGGAAGCCAUGGCACCCACCCAAGGAACCACACAUCGGGAACACACAAAGAACUGCAACAGCACGAUGAUAGUGCAGGUGAGGGGCAAGGCUGACAAGAGAGAAGAGAACGCGGCCAGCGGUGCUGCGGAUGAAGCCGGGUAGUGCUUCAUGGACCCGAACCGGGUGAUGGAGAUGGGCCUGCCCCUGUUGUCGCUGGCGACCACUAAGCCGUGCCGGGCAUGCCGGCCUGGUUCUACUCCUGUGCUCCAGGUUAUUGAUCUUGAGAUGGCUGCCUCAACUGAAAUUGUGCCCUUUAAAGACUUUGAGUAUAUCCAUGUACACAACACUGCAGGGUUGCUUGAAGCCUCUGUUAUCAUCGGGGGCAAUCAUCGGAGGUGCCAUGGAUGAGCAAAUUAAGUUACUGAAAGUAUUCAAGGUCACAAUAACGUUGUUGUUCCAAGUGGUUCGUAGCAUGCUUGAUGUGAAAAUAGGAGGGAAAGACUAUGCAAGUGACAAAAUCACAUACCCCAAGUUACUAAAGUUAGAGAUAUCUCAUGACUUUACACAAGAGAUACAACGAAGCAGCUUACUGGUUUCACCAGGCAGGACCUCUGUUGCAUUAAACGAAUUAGAUCGCCUUUAUACACAGAACUAAGGUGAUGUUUACCAGCAUUUGUAAUCAUCUCAAUCAUAUUCUGUAGCUUUCUAUCUUGGUGUGUAACAGGGAUAUUUAUCAGUGACACCUAAUCAUUAGUCGUAUGAAUGAUCGUUGAAAUGCUCGAAACAA